rnacentral:rRNA from 1 species
GACGAACGCUGGCGGCGUGCUUAACACAUGCAAGUCGAACGGAAAGGCCCUGCUUUUGUGGGGUGCUCGAGUGGCGAACGGGUGAGUAACACGUGAGUAACCUGCCCUUGACUUUGGGAUAACUUCAGGAAACUGGGGCUAAUACCGGAUAGGAGCUCCUGCUGCAUGGUGGGGGUUGGAAAGUUUCGGCGGUUGGGGAUGGACUCGCGGCUUAUCAGCUUGUUGGUGGGGUAGUGGCUUACCAAGGCUUUGACGGGUAGCCGGCCUGAGAGGGUGACCGGCCACAUUGGGACUGAGAUACGGCCCAGACUCCUACGGGAGGCAGCAGUGGGGAAUAUUGCACAAUGGGCAGAAGCCUGAUGCAGCAACGCCGCGUGCGGGAUGACGGCCUUCGGGUUGUAAACCGCUUUCGCCUGUGACGAAGCGUGAGUGACGGUAAUGGGUAAAGAAGCACCGGCUAACUACGUG